AGCUUUGCGCAGGGGCAGUAUGGUAGCCAAUGAGGUUUAAACGAGGCNCGAUUAUUGCUAAUUGAAAGUCAAGUCACAGAAGGCCAAAGAGCAUCUGAUAUGGGUGCUGGGAACUGAACCCAGGUCCUCUG
rnacentral:snRNA from 1 species